rnacentral:rRNA from 1 species
GAUGGACGCUGACAGAAUGCUUAACACAUGCAAGUCAACUUGAAUUUGGGUUUUUAACUUAGGUUUGGGUGGCGGACGGGUGAGUAACGCGUAAAGAACUUGCCUCACAGCUAGGGACAACAUUUGGAAACGAAUGCUAAUACCUAAUAUUAUGAUAAUAGGGCAUCCUAUAAUUAUGAAAGCUAUAAGCGCUGUGAGAGAGCUUUGCGUCCCAUUAGCUAGUUGGAGAGGUAACGGCUCACCAAGGCGAUGAUGGGUAGCCGGCCUGAGAGGGCGAUCGGCCACAAGGGGACUGAGACACGGCCCUUACUCCUACGGGAGGCAGCAGUGGGGAAUAUUGGACAAUGGACCGAGAGUCUGAUCCAGCAAUUCUGUGUGCACGAUGAAGUUUUUCGGAAUGUAAAGUGCUUUCAGUUGGGAAGAAACAAAUGACGGUACCAACAGAAGAAGUGACGGCUAAAUACGUG